rnacentral:rRNA from 1 species
AUGGAGGAUGUUGAGGGGUUGAUGAGGGGACUGAAGUUGUCUACGGUGGAGAAGAGGGGAAUGAAGAUCGGGGAAGUAGAGAAGGGGAAAGCUAAUGCAUGGGGUGCGGAUGACCCCCAGGCAGUAGGGAAACUAUUCUCGGAGAAGCCAGCGCAUGCGGGGGGUAUCGGACAAACCUUGGGACGGAUCUGGUGCCCGAUCAAAGGGCUAGAGUGCAAGGAGCUAGAGACAAACAUCUUUCUCUUCACGUUCCGGCAAGCAUCUGGAUGGAGGAGAGCGCUGGAGGAGGGCCCGUGGUGGUUUGACAAAGAGUUGUUGGUAAUGGAGGAUUUUGAUCCGGACAAGACGGUGGACGAAUAUGACUUCAAUUUGAUCCCUAUGUGGAUCCGUGUGUUCGGACUCCCUCUGGGCCAGAUGAAUAGGGCUACGGGAGAGCGGAUCGGUGCUGAUUUCCAUGAGUUUGUUGAUGUGGACGUUGGGCAUGAUGGUAAAGCUAUAGGUAAAUAUCUGCGGGUCAAGGUCAGACUGAAUAUACGAGAACCCCUGAUGAGAGGUUUCGUGCUGGAUCGGGACAAGAAGGAGGAGGAAAAGGGUGGAGAGGGGGUCGGGGUGGAAGGGGGAGAGGAGAGCCAGAAGAAGAAGAAGGGUUUGCUAUGGUGCCAUUUUGAAUAUGAGUACAUGCCCGAUUUCUGCUAUACUUGUGGUGUGAUCGGACACGGAGAGAAGGAGUCUAGACUUAAACCUCCAAGGGGAGAAGCGCCGCAGUAUGGGCCAUGGCUGAGAGCGGAAGAGACAAACCAUAGGAGACUAGAUGUCAUUGCUCAUGGUAAAGGACAGGGCAGUAGGAGCUUCAGUGGGAGCGACAGUAGUCAGGAGAGGAGAAGAAAAUAUGGCUGGGGCAACGGGUCGCGGGGUUCAGAUAGUAAUGCUAUUUCUUAG